CUGUUGCAAAGUAUUCACCAUCAGGAGACCAUGCCAUCAAAUGUACUGAUACUGCAGUUCUAAAGAGCACAAGAGUAAAGUUUUAAAAUCAUCUACAGUUUCUUGCUACAGAGGAUGUCUACCAGUACAGUCAUUAACUGAGAAUAUGUUUAUGGAUUUUACAAUCAGAAGAUAGUUAGGGUCAAUAACCACAUUGCUUGCAAACACCUGGCUUUGUGAGCACUAUUGUCACUGCUCUAAAUACAAACUUUUCAUAUGGUCUUCUAUAAUGUGAUCCCCUUGCUAAGUAUUUAUCUGAAUGUGAAAGUACACAUUGUACCCGUAGAUGCAGCAAUUAAAUGUCCAAAGUAGUCUUGCAACCAUGUAGUUGCAUGCAAAAAUUAGAACUGGGUACACAAAGUCUAGAAUGAAAGAUUUCCAAGGCCAUGGCACAAAAAUGAAGUAAUGCAGUUUUGUCUUUCUGAGUCCUCAGACCUACAGCUGUUGUUCUGGGAAGCUCUGAGGAACUGAUACUGAGGUAUCAGUGUAAUGCAAGCAGGAAGGAGGGGGGAACCAACUGCUAGAAGGUGGUUAGAGGGAGAUUAUUUCAGUAAGAAAAUACCUUAAGCUCCUUUGUGUCUAGGCAUUAUUACACCCAGUCUGGAAGGGUACAAAUUAUUACAAAAGAUGAAUAUAAUAAUUUCCAGAAAGUGGGAGCGAGAGAGACUUGAGAUACUGAAGUAACUUCUAGCACUGAACAGAAAAUCUUUCUGCUUUGUUGUUGCUCAACUUCUCAUCUUGGAUUUUGUUGCAAAACAAACUCCAUGAGUGGUGUGCAAAGCUGGACAGUUUAGCAAACAUUAACAAGUGGGGUGUGAAAGAAAUGGAGGCUGUGCUAUGAAUGCCCACAGGAAAACAAAAGUAGGUCCAGGAGUUCCAAUAUUUUAUUUACAAUUCUAAUAUUCACCAGCAGUUGAAUCUCAUGCUUCAAAGGGUAAGCAAUUAAAACAACAAAGAUUAACCUUCAGGUUUUUGUCUCACUGUCUGCCUCGUAAUUACUAACAAACUAAUGGGCACAAUUGAAAAUGUUGUUUGAUACAUUAAGAAGAAAAAAAAAAGGCAUUGGUCCACUUAAAGUAAGAUCUUAAACUUUGUAAAUACCUUAUUUUUCUUCAUUGUUGCUAUUGAUAAUUUGACUUGAAAGAGAUACAGACACGUGUCUCAGAAAUAAUACAGAGAAAGGAAAAGACUUCAACUUCAGUUAUGCUUACUGUUGUUAAACAUGUAUGCCUGCAUGUGUGUGUAUAGCUGGUAAUGGACAAACCAAAAGUGUUAAUGCUUGUUAUACUUUCCUGCACUGAAAGGUAUUUCUAUGUAUCACCUUGUAUUGUCCAAAUUCAAGCUUCCCAUUUGAUUACUUUUAUGAAGCAUUUCUAAUUAUCUCGAUAUAUUAUCAUGCUUAUACUAGAACAGAACAUGUUCUAUAACAUCAAACAUUGUAUAACAUCAAAUCCUCUUUUUAAUUUCUUCUCUCAUUCCUUAAGGGGACUUAACUAGAAGCCCCACCAAAGAAUAGGAAAGUGCCAUAAGAGUUAUAAUAUUUAACAAUAGUUCCUUAUGAAGGUCUCAGCUGACAACAUCUUCAAGGAGAUCCUUUGUGUCAGCACAGAAAUCUCUCCUGCCAGAAGAACAGUGGCCACAGAAUUCGUAGCAAUACUAAUCAUCUGCACAGCCUGAUGGAAGGAAUGGAAAACUGGGAGCAGCAGACGGAGCGAGCCGUGCAUCAGCAGCAGCGGGCGGCCCCUACAGCCACGCACCGCCUGACCGAACCGAACCGAACCGCCCCCGCACGAAGGGGCUCGCAGUGCGGCGCUGCGGGCCGGGAGCUCCUCCGCCCGCCGCCCUCGCACGGCCCUAAACCCGCAGGCAGCCCCAGCAGGUUAAUCCCCUCCGGUCCCUCCCACGGCUUCCAUCGGGCCUACAAACCGCCCUCCCCAUCCCCCCCCACCUUACCGUGAAGGGGAUGUCCUCGACGCUGCCCACGGAGUAGCAGUUAUCCCCGGGGUUGACGGCGCCCGUGAGCACCUGGUGGAGAUGCAUCGCGCCCGUUCGCCCGGGGACGAGAUAAACGACACCCGGAUGGCGCCGCGCUCCCGCACGGGCCCGGGCCCGGCCCUGCCCGCUGCCACCGCUGUGAGCGCGAGAGAGGGAAUCGGGAAAGGCGGAGUUGGGGGGGGGGAGGAACGGGGAGAGGCGGCGCAAGCGCCGGGCAGCGCUGGGAUCAGGUGAGGAGCGCGCAGGAGCACGAGCGGCAGCCGCUGGGACAGCAAUGAUGCGCGAGACCGAGGGAGGAUGGAUCGGACUUGGGGGGGGGGAGGCGCGUGCACCAUCGCGCGGGGCACCUGAAUGUACAACGGGGCGGGGGGAACGCUGGGUUCGUGAGCCGCAAGGACCGCUCUGUGCUGGCCAGAAGCUGACGGUCCUGAGUCGUGAAUAUUCACUUGUGAUGGUGAGAACACUAUUAAUGGUCGGUAGUCAAACCGCUAGGCGAGGUGUGAGGGCUGUCUCGCUUUGGAAACAUAGUUGCAACCUCGCUAAGAGUAACGCGAGGCUUUGGCUGUUGUGUCUGUGGGAGCUGCGCGGCGCUGGAACCUGGUGAACGUGUCUGUGUCAGAGGUGUGCAAAAGGCUGAGUGUUGGUUGGGGGGGUUCCAAAAUUCAGUGGGAAUAAAGGUACUCUGUAUGCAGCAUC